CCAACUUUUCCACUCUCCUAUUUCACCUGCAGCAAGAGGCUCUUUAGUUCCUCUUCACUUUCUGUCAUUAGAGUGGUAUCAUCUGCAUAUCUGAGGUUGUUGAUAUUUCUCCCAGCAAUCUUAAUUCCAACUAGUGAUUCA